rnacentral:rRNA from 1 species
GUGGGGAAUAUUGGACAAUGGGCGAAAGCCUGAUCCAGCCAUGCCGCGUGUGUGAAGAAGGUCUUCGGAUUGUAAAGCACUUUAAGUUGGGAGGAAGGGCAUUAACCUAAUACGUUAGUGUUUUGACGUUACCGACAGAAUAAGCACCGGCUAACUUCGUGCCAGCAGCCGCGGUAAUACGAAGGGUGCAAGCGUUAAUCGGAAUUACUGGGCGUAAAGCGCGCGUAGGUGGUUCGUUAAGUUGGAUGUGAAAGCCCCGGGCUCAACCUGGGAACUGCAUCCAAAACUGGCGAGCUAGAGUACGGUAGAGGGUGGUGGAAUUUCCUGUGUAGCGGUGAAAUGCGUAGAUAUAGGAAGGAACACCAGUGGCGAAGGCGACCACCUGGACUGAUACUGACACUGAGGUGCGAAAGCGUGGGGAGCAAACAGGAUUAGAAACCCCUGUAGUC